CGGCCGCAGUACCCUGACUGUGCUAAGGUAGCAUAAUAAUUUGGCCUUUAAUUGGGGUCUGGUAUGAAUGGGUUUAUGGGGGAAAGCUGUCUUUUACUUAUUGGGUGAAAAUUCCCAAGACUUAAAAUAAGACGAGAAGACCCUUAGAAUUACGCUUUUGUUGGGGCAACAUUGUCAGAUGAAGUUGACAAUCUCAGAUUAUAAGGAAGAGUUAAUUACCUAAGGGAUAACAGCAUAAUUUCAAUUUUAGAUUGUGACCUCGAUGUUGGACUAGGAAAACCUCCCACUAG
rnacentral:rRNA from 1 species